rnacentral:rRNA from 1 species
UAAUACGUAGGGAGCGAGCGUUGUCCGGAAUUACUGGGCGUAAAGGGCGCGUAGGCGGGUGUUUAAGUCAGAUGUGAAAACUAUGGGCUCAACCCAUAGACUGCAUUUGAAACUGGGCAUCUUGAGGGCAGGAGAGGAAAGUGGAAUUCCUAGUGUAGCGGUGAAAUGCGUAGAUAUUAGGAGGAACACCAGUGGCGAAGGCGACUUUCUGGACUGUACCUGACGCUGAGGCGCGAAAGCGUGGGGAGCGAACAGG